rnacentral:rRNA from 1 species
UGGGGAAUAUUGCGCAAUGGGCGAAAGCCUGACGCAGCGACGCCGCGUGAGGGAUGAAGGUUUUCGGAUCGUAAACCUCUGUCAGAAGGGAAGAAACCGCACUGUGCUAAUCAGCAGUGCCUUGACGUUACCUUCAAAGGAAGCACCGGCUAACUCCGUGCCAGCAGCCGCGGUAAUACGGAGGGUGCAAGCGUUAAUCGGAAUUACUGGGCGUAAAGCGCACGUAGGCUGCUUUGUAAGUCAGGGGUGAAAUCCAACGGCUCAACCGUGGAACUGCCUUUGGUACUGCUUAGCUUGAAUCCGGGAGAGGGUGGCGGAAUUCCAGGUGUAGGAGUGAAAUCCGUAGAUAUCUGGAGGAACAUCAGUGGCGAAGGCGGCCACCUAGACAGGUAUUGACGCUGAGGUGCGAAAGCGUGGGGAGCAAACAGG